GCUAUUUAGGUAGCGCCUCGUGAACUCAUCUUCGGGGGUAGAGCACUGUUUCGGCUAGGGGGUCAUCCCGACUUACCAACCCGAUGCAAACUACGAAUACCGAAGAAUGUUAUCACGGGAGACACACGGCGGGUGCUAACGUCCGUCGUGAAGAGGCAAACAACCCAGACCGCCAGAUAAGGUCCCAAAGUCAUGGUUAAGUGGGAAACGAUGUGGGAAGGCACAGACAGCCAGGA
rnacentral:rRNA from 1 species